rnacentral:rRNA from 1 species
UACGGAGGAUGCGAGCGUUAUCCGGAUUCAUUGGGUUUAAAGGGUGCGCAGGCGGGAUCUUAAGUCAGUAGUGAAAUCUAGAGGCUCAACCUCUAAACUGCCAUUGAAACUGGGAUUCUUGAGUAUGGAUGAAGUAGGCGGAACUCGUUGUGUAGCGGUGAAAUGCAUAGAUAUAACGAAGAACCCCGAUUGCGUAGGCAGCUUACUAAACCAUAACUGACGCUCAAGCACGAAAGCGUGGGUAUCAAAC